AUUGAACGUUGGCGGCAGGUUUAACACAUGCAAGUCGAGCGGUAACACAGAGAGCUUGCUCUCGGGUGACGAGCGGCGGACGGGUGANUAAUGUCUGGCAAACUGCCUGAUGGAGGGGGAUAACUACUGGAAACGGUAGCUAAUACCGCAUAACGUCGCAAGACCAAAGUGGGGGACCUUCCGGCCUCAUGCCAUCAAAUGUGCCCAGAUGGGAUUAGCUAGUAGGUGGGGUAAUGGCUCACCUAAGCAACUAUCCCUAGCUGGACUGAAAGGAUGACCACCCACACUGGAACUGAGACACGGUCCACACACCUACGGGAGGCAGCAGUGGGAAAUAUUGCA
rnacentral:rRNA from 1 species